CUACUAUUUGUUUUGCCAAGUUUUUAAUAAUGAAAAGAACUGGCUUUGAAAAUUGAAAUGCCUCCAGCAGUGUAUGUGAAUGUGCCUGGAAAGAAAUAAAGGAGAGGAAAGGAGUUCUCUAGAGGAGGAAACUGUGUCUGUUUUGACUUUCUGUUUCCUAGCACUUGAGACAAAAUAAGUGCUGAAAAAAUGCCAUCAGAAAAGCAACAAGAACACUGACGAAAAUGGUCAAAAUUAGAAUGUACAGAACUCUGGAAAUGACAGUACAGCAGCAUGUGAGGAGCGUCUGUUCCAGAAAGUCAGCUGGAUCACGGAUCCCAUCCAAGAUACCACAUUGCCUUCCCUAACCAUGACUCUUUGGGCUUCUCUCGGCUGUGACCAUUUUCUAGACUUUCCUUUUGAUGACCUGGACACUUUUGAGGAAUGGCGGUCAGGGCCCCCACCUGGCCAGAUACCAAGGGAGCCUAGUGUGUCCAUUCCUGAGCUCAGUUAAGGCAAGCAGUUUACACCUCCGAGCUCCCACCCCAACCAGGAUGCUCUCAACUUCGCAACAUAAUGAGG